rnacentral:tRNA from 1 species
UAUAGCUCAGCUGGUAGAGUGCUUGCCUUAUACAUACAAGGCCCUGGGUUCAAUUCCCAGUA